rnacentral:rRNA from 1 species
CCUACGGGUGGCAGCAGUGGGGAAUAUUGGGCAAUGGGCGCAAGCCUGACCCAGCAACGCCGCGUGAAGGAAGACGGCUUUCGGGUUGUAAACUUCCUUUCUGAGGGACGCAGAAAGUGACGGUACCUCAGGAAUAAGCCACGGCUAACUACGUGCCAGCAGCCGCGGUAAUACGUAGGUGGCAAGUGUUAUCCGGAUUUAUUGGGGGUAAAGGGCGUGUAGGCGGGACAGCAAGUCAGAUGUGAAAACUCUGGGCUCAACCCUGAGCCUGCAUUUGAAACUGUUUUUCUUGAGUGCUGGAGAGGCAAUCGGAAUUCCGGGUGUAGCGGUGAAAUGCGUAGAUAUACGGAGGAACACCAGUGGCGAAGGCGGAUUGCUGGACAGUAACUGACGCUGAGGCGCGAAAGCGUGGGGAGCAAACAGGAUGAGAUACCCGAGUAGUC